CAACAUUUCUUUCUUUCUUUCUUAAAAUUGGAACGAUACAGAGAAGAUUAGCAUGGCCCCUGUACAAGGAUGACACGCAAAUUCGUGAAGCGUUCUUUCUUUCU
rfam:Alligator mississippiensis ScZkoYb_139, whole genome shotgun sequence.